AAUAGGAGAAUGAUAAAUCAGAUUUUUUCUCCUGAUUUUUAACUUUUUUUCCUGUUGACAAAAUUCAAAUCUAAUUAAAAAUGCUAAAAAUUAGGAAGAAAAAUCUUAUUUGUCAUUCUCCAAUC
rfam:Gossypium arboreum cultivar AKA8401 contig_30303_1, whole genome shotgun sequence.